ACUAAGUUUCAACAACGGAUCUCUUGGCUCUCGCAUCGAUGAAGAACGCAGCGAAAUGCGAUAAGUAAUGUGAAUUGCAGAAUUCAGUGAAUCAUCGCAUCUUUGAACGCACCUUGCGCUCCUUGGUAUUCCUUGGAGCAUGCCUGUUUGAGUAUCAUGAAAU
rnacentral:rRNA from 1 species